UUGCUCUUCAACGAGGAAUCCCUAGUAAGCGCAAGUCAUCAGCUUGCGUUGAUUACGUCCCUGCCCUUUGUACACACCGCCCGUCGCUACUACCGAUUGAAUGGCUCAGUGAGGCGUCCGGACUGGCCCAGGGAGGUGGGCAACUACCACCCAGGGCCGGAAAGCUCUCCAAACUCGGUCAUUUAGAGGAAGUAAAAGUCGUAACAAGGUCUCCGUUGGUGAACCAGCGGAGGGAUCAUUA
rnacentral:ncRNA from 1 species